GCAGGGGUAGUAGAGGUGACAGGGGUGACAGGUAGCAGGGGUAGUAGAGGUGACAGGUAGCAGGGGUAAUAGAGGUGACAGGUGUGACAGGCCGCUCGGCGCUCACCCCCGGUCCGGCCCCCGCCGGGUGCUGCUGGCUCAGGAUGGCCCGGCACCC